AGUACACAGAUAUAGCUACCUAGGUCAUGUUUGUCACACAUGUACACAGAUAUAGCUACCUACGUCAUGAUUGUCACACAAGUACACAGAUAUAGCUACCUAGGUCAUGGUCGUCACACAAGUACAAAGAUAUAGCUACCUAGGUCAUGAUCGUCACACAUGUACACAGAUAUAGCUACCUAGGUCAUGAUCGUACCCAACAUUAAAAACCGUAACAACUGAUUUCUUUGAAUACCUGUCCUCGGUAAUGAUUAAAAAACAUUUUAUGCACA